rnacentral:rRNA from 1 species
AGGACGAACGCUGGCGGCGUGCUUAACACAUGCAAGUCGAGCGGAAAGGCCUUUCGGGGUACUCGAGCGGCGAACGGGUGAGUAACACGUGAGUAACCUGCCCCCUACUUUGGGAUAACCCUCGGAAACGGGGGCUAAUACCGGAUAUGACUUCCUGUGGCAUCACGGGUGGUGGAAAGUUUUUUCGGUGGGGGAUGGGCUCGCGGCCUAUCAGCUUGUUGGUGGGGUAAUGGCCUACCAAGGCGACGACGGGUAG